UCCAGCCUCAGCCUUCUCAGUAGCUGUGGAUUACAGACAUGUGCCACCAUGACCAACUCCAUAGGAACUCCAAGAUUGAACAGCAGGAUGAUUAAUGCCCACAAGGGGGAAUGGGACAAGACUCCCAGAAGAUAUGAGCCUUUCUCAGUUGCAUAUGGAGGAUAGGGACCAGAUGACCUGAAGUGACAGACCUAUGAAGUGGUGGCUGAGGAACCCUUUGAGUGAUAAUAGCUGAUGACAAGAGUGGCAGUGCCUAUACUUGGAGCAGAGAGAUAUAUCAAGGAUAGAUGCACAAGGAGCAAAAACCAGCCAAGAAAAUCCUGCUUCAGGAAAGAGAAAACCAGAGUUUCUAGGAAUAAAUGACAACUAGAAGAGAAAGAAGGGAUGGACCCAUGGAGGUGAUUUCAAGACAAAUUAAAAAAAUAAUCAAAGGUGAAUGUAAAAGGGAGUAAUGUACUGCAUAAUCAGAGGCAUAGGAAUGAAUGUCUGUCUUGAGGAAAUGCUUCCAUCCUCUCUAUCACCUGGAGGAAUGGCUAUUUCUAUGAGUGAGUCACAACAGUAAAAACAAAACAAAAUAAAAAUGGGGUAGGUAGAAAGAUCUACAAGGCAACAAGAAGAAGAACCACAAAAACCUGUUUAGAAGAGAAAACUCAAUGUUAGUACUCUGGAAGAUUUCAUUCCUUGAGGAAUACAAAUUGUAGAAGGAAUAAAUAAGUAUAAGAGACAU